rnacentral:rRNA from 1 species
AUUGAACGCUGGCGGCAUGCUUUACACAUGCAAGUCGAACGGUAACAGCACUUCGGUGGCUGACGAGUGGCGAACGGGUGAGUAAUACAUCGGAACGUGCCUAGUAGUGGGGGAUAACUACUCGAAAGAGUAGCUAAUACCGCAUGAGAUCUAAGGAUGAAAGCAGGGGACCUUCGGGCCUUGCGCUACUAGAGCGGCUGAUGGCAGAUUAGGUAGUUGGUGGGAUAAAAGCUUACCAAGCCGACGAUCUGUAGCUGGUCUGAGAGGACGACCAGCCACACUGGGACUGAGACACGGCCCAGACUCCUACGUGAGGCAGCAGUGGGGAAUUUUGGACAAUGGGCGCAAGCCUGAUCCAGCAAUGCCGCGUGCAGGAUGAAGGCCUUCGGGUUGUAAACUGCUUUUGUACGGAACGAAAAGCCCUCUUCUAAUACAGGAGGGUCAUGACGGUACCGUAAGAAUAAGCACCGGCUAACUACGUG